GUAGAAGGCCCAGUACAUUGUGGGUGGUACCAUCCUCAGACAAGUGAACCUGGGCUCCCUAAGAAAGGUAGCUGAAUGUGAACCUGGGAGCAAGUCAGAGUAAGGACUGUUCCUCUAUGAUUUUCCUUCAGUUCCUGCCUCCAGAUUCCUGUCUUUAGUUUCUGCCUCAGCUUCCCUUGCUGAAGGGCCUUUAAGACUUAAGUCACUCAGCAAAACAGACGGCUCUCAAGCAGGAUGAAGUACGUGUUCACUACAUGCGCCUGCAAGUGUACACGAGUGUGCACGAACUGUGAAGGAGUUGUGAAGUACACCACAAGCUGCUGUGAAAGAAAUAACGAGAAAGGAAGUCCAGGACUUCAUCACACCCUCCACGGAGCAAUCCACUGGGGCUGACACUCACAGAAAAGACAGCAAGGGUCGGAACCAAGCUUGCCUGGCAGUUUCCUUACACCGGAGCCUCUGUCGCGGACAUCUCAACUCUAGUUUGGGGAUGGCUGUGCUCUCACACAUAGGACUCUUGGACUUGACAGAGAAGAGGAAGACCCCAUAGGGAAUUCUAUUUUGUCCAUCUUUCCUAAAAUGCCAGUAGAAUUUCGGUGGGAAAACAGCAGAUGAAUAACUACCUCCGGACGGAAACAGGCUUCCGGCUCCCGCGCUUCGCUGCACGUCUCUCCAGCAGCGGUGAACUUGGUGAACAAACACCGACGCUCCUCGUCCGUGAUCUCUGGCAUCCACUUCACCAAGUUGACCAUGAACCUGUGCUCACAGACACCCAACAGAAUCCGGAUCCACAUGGUGAGCCAAAGAAAGAAAAUAAUAUUUCUUGCUUGGACGAUGUGGAAAACAACAGAGAAGAGUAGAGAAUUCGUAUAAAUCAACAAUGGAAGGCAUGAGCACAAAAAGCCAAGUACCAGGUUUGCCAUCCCAGCACUGAAGAGUCAGAGGCAGGAGGAUCACCACAACUUGGGAGCAACCUGGUCUGCAUAGUGAAUUCUAGGCCAGCUAAGACUGUACAAAGAGAGAUUAUCUCAAACACAGGAAUAACAGAUGGCAGACAGAACACCAAUAGACAUGCUAAUGGGGAGGAGGGAAUUCUCAUUGGGCCCCACCUCUAGAGCUACAGGCAAUUGACAACUGCUGAGAGAAAAAGAAUUAGUCUUCCCCAGGGAUGAACCCCCUAAUUAGUUGUCCAAUACCAAAUGAUCAGACCUAAAAACAUUACAUACUAGUAACACUGAA